rnacentral:rRNA from 1 species
GACGAACGCUGGCGGCGUGCUUAACACAUGCAAGUCGAACGAUGAACCCGGAGCUUGCUCUGGGGGAUUAGUGGCGAACGGGUGAGUAACACGUGAGUAACCUGCCCUGGACUCUGGGAUAAGCGUUGGAAACGACGUCUAAUACCGGAUAGGACCUUGGAUCGCAUGAUCUGGGGUGGAAAGUUUUUUCGGUCUGGGAUGGACUCGCGGCCUAUCAGCUUGUUGGUGAGGUAAUGGCUCACCAAGGCGUCGACGGGUAGCCGGCCUGAGAGGGUGACCGGCCACACUGGGACUGAGACACGGCCCAGCCUCCUACGGGAGGCAGCAGUGGGGAAUAUUGCACAAUGGGCGAAAGCCUGAUGCAGCAACGCCGCGUGCGGGAUGACGGCCUUCGGGUUGUAAACCGCUUUUAGUAGGGAAGAAGGGCUUCGGCUUGACGGUACCUGCAGAAAAAGGACCGGCUAACUACGUG